GGCGAAUCCAGUGGGAAUCAGGGCCGCUGGGCGGUGGCCCCGGGGUCCCUGCGAGGAGCGGGACACACUUGGAGAAGAUGGCAGAGUGGCUGAGGAUCCAGCCCCUGUGGGGAAGGGAACUGGGCGUGGCUUGGACCACUUUGGUGAGGAGAGUGACGACUCUUCUCUGAUCUGCAACCUCCUUGUGGCGAUGAGGAGGCAUCUAUCAGUCUCCCGAGCUCCCAGAGGACCUUUGAGAGCUCUCAGCUCACUGGACAGCAUCAGGCUUUGGAGAAGAAGAAAUACUUCUCUGCUUUUCUUCAAGGCCCCAAGAGCAGGAGCCCGGUGGUCCAGCCAGUUUCCACCUCCUGACCCCACAUUAUCACCUGUGUGUCUUCUCUCAUGGAAGCUGCCACUUUUUCCUCCAUCAAUGGACAUUCCUGCAGGGACUGGUCAGCCUUCCACGGGUCCUAGAGGUCAGUAUACAGGUCCCGAGUAUUCCUUCAGUUGCCUGCAGUAAGUUUAAAGUGUUUUAACUUCUUCCUCUUGUGUUCGAUGGGUUUGGCUUCUUCGUUCAGAACGUGGAUCUUUGUUGAAGUGACAGACAUCGGGUCCUCCUCUUGAUCUGACCAUCCAGGUGUUGCUAAAAAGCCUGCAAUGGGCGGAACCUCAAGGUUGGUGUGUCUAGACCUCCAGGGACCCCAGGCAUAGGUCUUUCUCCAUCACAGGGUGAAACUCCCACCAUCCCCUAUACCGGGAAGG